UCCCUGGUGGUCUAGUGGUUAGGAUUCAGUGCUUUCACUGCCGUGGCCCGGGUUCAAUCCCUGGCUGGGGAA